AGACACGGGGUUUACUGACAGGCGGACGUCUCCAGCGUGAAUCCGGCAGUGGGAAACACCUGUGGUGUCAGCUCCGUGCGUAACUGGUGGAGGCAUGGGAGUCAGUCCCCAGCCAGAUACUGCCGGCCUGGAAAACACCUCAAUGUGGGUUUUGCUCAACUGUGCAGUCAGGAAGCCUGUUCUAUUUCCAUGGGUUGGCCUCACAGGGUUACAGCAUGCCUCUGAGCCCUCUGCUGCUGGCAUAUACUACCUAAGGAACGCUUCUAGCAAGACUGAUGGGACAGACGUGCUCUGUGCUACAAGGAGGGGGGGGGUGCUCUGCUAUGGAAAUUUCUGUGCAGACGUGCUGAAGAUAUUUUUGAUGUAUUUGUGGUUCUGAGUGGAAUGAACUGGUUGAAGAGUGGUACGCUCUUCAUUAUUGUGGGAAAUUUGUGUGUGUUGCUCCAGCACGUUACCAAAAUGGAAAUAUUUUACAGUGGGCUCUUACUUGUUUGGUUUCUUUGGCUAUGCAUAUUUAGAAAAAUAAUCAGAAUUCAUUAUGAGGAUUUAGCACAGAUCCUUUCACCUCUUAGUGUAAUAGGGCACUUUAUAUACGAGAUGUGGUAUGCUAAACAUUUCUGGUAUAGCAUCAUGAUCUUGGGAUAGAUCAUGUCCAUAUGCUUUAGUGAUGAGUUGUUUUCUAUUUUCAGCUCAUAAAACUGCUGGGUUUGGAAGAGAAGGCCUUUUCCAUUUCUCUCUGGAACUCUGGUCAGGAACUGGUUAGAGGGAAUAGAGAACUACUCCCGAUACUUCACAAACACAAUCAAA